CCCCGGCGAGGGGAGUGAAAAAGAACCUGAAACCGUGUACGUACAAGCAGUGGGAGCACGCUUAGGCGUGUGACUGCGUACCUUUUGUAUAAUGGGUCAGCGACUUAUAUUCUGUAGCAAGGUUAACCGAAUAGGGGAGCCGAAGGGAAACCGAGUCUUAACUGGGCGUUAAGUUGCAGGGUAUAGACCCGAAACCCGGUGAUCUAGCCAUGGGCAGGUUGAAGGUUGGGUAACACUAACUGGAGGACCGAACCGACUAAUGUUGAAAAAUUAGCGGAUGACUUGUGGCUGGGGGUGAAAGGCCAAUCAAACCGGGAGAUAGCUGGUUCUCCCCGAAAGCUAUUUAGGUAGCGCCUCGUGAAUUCAUCUCCGGGGGUAGAGCACUGUUUCGGCAAGGGGGUCAUCCCGA
rnacentral:rRNA from 1 species